AUGCAUUCAAAGAGUGCGUAACAGCUCACUGGUCGAGUGGGGGCGCGCCGACAAUGCGCGGGGCUCAAGCACGGCGCCGAAGCGGCGGAAUCGAUCAAUUCGAUUGGUAGGGGAGCUUUCCAUGCCGGGCGAAGCCGGAGGCGCGAGCCCCGGUGGACGGCAUGGAAGUGAGGAUGCAGGCAUGAGUAGCGAGAGAGCGGCGAGAAACCGCUCCGCCGAAAACCCAAGGUUUCCUGGGCGAGGCUAAUCCCCCCAGGGUCAGCCGGGAGCUAAGGCGAGGCCGGAAGGCGCAGCCGAUGCACGACGGGCAGACAUUCCCGUGCCGGCGCGGGCGCGCUACGACCGAUGGGACGACGGGGAAGGAUACGCGAGCGGGGUUCUGGACGUCCCCGUGAAAGCGCGUAGGGAGGGGCCCAGGGAAAUCCGGUCCCCGCAUAUCCCGAGACGCGAGACGAGCCCUGUGGCGAAGUCGCGGAUUCCAUGCCUCCUAGAAAAAUCCCUAGGCAGCGCCCACGCCGCCCGUACCAAAACCGACACAGGUGGGUAGGAAGAGCAUUCCGAGGCGAUCGGGGCAACCAUGGUCAAGGAACUCGGCAUAAUCGUCCCGUAACUUAGGGAGAAGGGACGCCCCCCAGCGUGUACCGGCUCGCCCGGGAAGCGCCGGGGGGCCGCAGCGAAAGGGCCCAAGCGACUGUUUACCAAAAACACAGGACUCUGCCAAGCCGCGAGGCGAAGUAUAGGGUCUGACGCCUGCCCGGUGCCGGAAGGUCACGGGGAUCCGUUAGCCUUUGGCGAAGCGGUGAACCCAAGCCCCGGUAAACGGCGGCCGUAACUAUAACGGUCCUAAGGUAGCGAAAUUCCUUGUCGGGUAAGUUCCGACCUGCACGAACGGCGCAACGACUUGGGCGCUGUCUCGACCAUGGGCCCGGCGAAAUUGCAUUAUCCGUGAAGAUGCGGAUUCCCCGCGGAAGGACGGAAAGACCCCGUGAACCUUUACUGCAGCUUGGCAUUGGCCGCAGGCGCGGCGCGUAGAGGAUAGGCAGGAGGCUGCGAAGCCCGGGCGCCAGCCCGGGCGGAGCCGACCUUGGAAUACUGCCCCCGUCGCGUCGGCGGCCUAACCCGGGGACGGCCCGGGGACCGUGCCAGGCGGGCAGUUUGACUGGGGCGGUCGCCUCCCAAAGAGUAACGGAGGCGCGCGCAAGGUCCGCUCAGGACGGUCGGCAACCGUCCGCGGAGCGCAAGAGCACAAGCGGGCCUGACUGCGAGGCAGACAAGCCGAGCAGGGACGAAAGUCGGCUCUAGUGAUCCGGCGGCCCCGAGUGGAAGGGCCGUCGCUCAACGGAUAAAAGGUACUCCGGGGAUAACAGGCUGAUCUUGCCCAAGAGUCCACAUCGACGGCAAGGUUUGGCACCUCGAUGUCGGCUCAUCGCAUCCUGGGGCUGUAGCAGGUCCCAAGGGUUGGGCUGUUCGCCCAUUAAAGCGGUACGCGAGCUGGGUUCAGAACGUCGUGAGACAGUUCGGUCCCUAUCCUCCGCGGGCGCAGGAGAAUUGAGGAGGGCUGCCCCUAGUACGAGAGGACCGGGGCGGACGGGCCUCUGGUGUCCCGGUUGUCGACCAACGGCACGGCCGGCUAGCCACGCCCGGAACGGAUAACCGCUGAAGGCAUCUAAGCGGGAAGCCGUCUCCGAGAUGAGUUCUCCCUUCGGUAAGCCCCCAUGUAGAACACGUGGUCGAUAGGCCGCAGCUGCAAGCGCCGCGAGGCGUUCAGGCGAGCGGUACUAAUAGGGCGAGCCCUUGCACC
rnacentral:rRNA from 1 species